UUUUAAAAGACAAAACAAUGGAAGGAAUAAAUAAAUUAAAUAUGCAUAACUGUGGAAAGCAUAUUAUGGAAAUAAACAAAUGCAAAAUUGAUAUUGCAAAAAGAAAACAGAAUCCUGGUCCUGUAAAUUGGGAAGUAGUAGAAAAAUGGAUAGAAUUUAAUAGCUCACCAAAAAAAAAGAUGCUGUGAAUGACGAGGAAGGUAACACGGCAAAGCCUAAGUCCACGUACAGUUAUGAACUUCUACUGAGUUCCUCAUCUGAUGAGUUGAAGUAUGAACUAGAAGACUGUUUUAUUAUCAUUACGCUAUAGUAAAAACGAAGGUGAAAUAGAGUGUAAAAAAGGAGUCAAGGUAUCUUUUCAUUAUUCAAUGAAGGAAUUAGAUUAGGAGCAUAUUGGAAGUGGAUCUCAAAUGUAAUUUUGAGUAUUUAGAGAGAAGACUGGAUAGUAAAAAUAAUUUACGAACCAUACGCUUGCACACAUCCAGUACACGACAGAGCUACUCCCUGAGGUGGAAACGUUUUAAGAGAAACGAAUGGCAGCGCUACAAUAACGAAAUGACUCAGUACUGAUUGACGGCAACAUUUGAUGCCAUUAUGGCUACUUGGAUCAUGCUGUAAAAAUAUUUAACAAUAUUUUAUAUAAAAUAUAUUGACGCAAUCAAUUUAGAACAAAGAUUAUUAAGGAAUAUUGUAUUUCUCUUUAACAGGAUAAGACGUAUUGAGAGACCAAAGAAUUUUAGUGAAGUGAAAAAGAUGAUACUGAAAGAAUGUAUAAAGUUACAUUGGUGCAAUCUAAAUUUUAUUGUAAACUUAAGGUGUCUACUGACUUUUACAGCUACAAAUUGAGAUAUAACAAAAUUAGACAGAAAAAAAGAGAAAAUUGAUUCGUAUAUAACAGAGG